UAAUUCUUAAAAUGAUGAAUAACUUUUAGCGAUGGGCGGACUGAAAAAAGUCAAAGCUUUUGUUUGUAGAAAAUCGCACAAACUGAUAAGAAUUAAUUUUUUUUUUAAA